rnacentral:lncRNA from 1 species
UAAUUGUUUCUUGCUUUCUUAAUCCACUCUAGAGCCUUUCCUAAGAUCAUUUUGAGUGCCACCCGUUAUUGCUAGCCUUUAAUUGCUUGAGUUUUAUCUGUUUGAAAAUUCUGCACAUAAAUUGUUUGAUAAAAUCACAGUUGUGCAUUCUGGGUUUGCAAUUUUCUGGCAGCAGCAAAGUUGUUUUCUGCUCUUGAAAUUGAUUGAUGGUGGUUCCUUUGAGCUCUUUGUUGGGUGCAGAAUCAUCUCAGGUGGUACUACAUCACUGGUAGCCUCCUAGGAAGUGGAGAGUAAGUGGAAAACUCAAGUUUGGAAGCUGAUUUCGGUGCAGCAGGGUUCCUUAUCUUGGACUGCAAUUUUUGCUUGCUGUCAUAGCAUAAGUCUUCACACCAGCAGCUAUGAGAUUAGUGUGAAUCACUCCAGAUUCAUUUCCUUGAGAUGAACAUUGAACUACAAAAGGCACAAACACCCNNCANCUGAGAGUUUUGAAUUUACUGCAUAUUAGCAGUCCUUUCUUUAUUGAGAAUCCAGAGCUGCAAUGUCCAAAGCCUUUUCUUCUGAUUUGUUUUCCAGAUUUGUAAAAUCCUAAUCAGCUUUUGGAAACAAAUCACCUGCACUGAUUUCAGUUUAUUGGUUAACNAUUUGUUUUACUGAUUCUUUUGUGUGCNGAAUUAGAAUUUGGCUUGACCAAGGGGUAGCAAGUUGUGACUGUUGAAUCAAUGCUCAUCUGCCGCAGUUGAAACUGGAUGAACACCAUCUUUGAUUAUCAACAUUGUCCAAGAAUCAGUGACUGUUUGACCAAAGUGGUUUAAACCACAAGCUGCAUUACUUCGAUUUUGCAGAGAAUAUUGUUAUGGACAAAUUGAAAGUAAUGCAAUCUUGUCAAGUAUAGUUAAAAUUUGGUUUGAUUAGAAUUGAAAAGGCUUGAACAACAGAUUGCAAUUUGAGAAGCAAAUUGGAUCCAUCUUCCACAACAAUUACAGUCAAACCGAGAAAGGAAGAGUGGAAUCCAAAAGCUAGGAGAUUCCAAAGUUGUCCAAAGCUGUCCAACAAUUGGAUUUAAAUGAAAUCAGAACGUGACAGUAGCAAUUGUUAGCUUUCUUUUGUAAUUGUUUUGUUCAUUUUGGUUAGGUUUUCUGUGUUAGAUUUCUUUAAAGUGUAAAAGGCCAUUCCAAGUCCAAGUGUUUUUGGAAGAGUCCUUGGUGCUCCUUCAACUCUUGGCAAUUGUUUGCUUUACAUUUAGCUUAGACUGGUGAGUGUGUCUUGCUAGCCAAAGCUACAAGCCUCACCUUAGGAGUAGAAUUUUAUCUUACUUGUUUGUAUGUGAUUUUGUAUGUCN